rnacentral:RNase_P_RNA from 2 species
CGGGUCAGGCGAGUGGUCGCCCCUUAUGGGGGAGGAAAGUCCGGGCUCCACAGGGCAGGACACCGGGGAAAUCCCGGCUUCGGCAACGGAGAGAACGUACCACAGAAACGAUACCGCUUCCGGUGAACCGGGAGUAAGGGUGAAAUGGCGGGGUAAGAGCCCACCGGGACGCCGGUAACGGCGUUCGCACGGUAAACCUUGUCCGGUGCAAGGCCAAAUAGGAAGGAAGGUUUCUUCGGAAACCGGGGAGCUGCCCGUUCCCUCAAUCUUCGGGUUGGUCGCUAGAGGUGCCUGGCAACAGGCAUCCCAGACGGAUGGCCACUGGGCUCUACGGAUCAUGCUCGCUGGCGCGACGUGGUUCCUGGGAGUUCACAGAACCCGGCUUACAGCCUGACCCUCUUU